rnacentral:lncRNA from 1 species
CCUGGAGGAAGGGGCUGAGUUGGGUUGGGGGCCACGGGAAGGAAUGGAGGGGGGUAAGGAAUGGGGCUGGAGGGGGGAUGGGAGCAUGAGAUGCUGGGGUUGGGGAGGGGAGAGCCCACUUCCUCGCCAGCCUCUGCGGCAUCAACAACAGCUGUUAUUUAUUGAGGGCUGGGCCUGGCUCAAACAAGCAUUUAUUGGGCGCCUCCCGUGUGCCAGGCACGGUGCCCGGGGCGGGAAAUAAGUCCCAGCUCG